rnacentral:rRNA from 1 species
GUCUAUUUGAAGGUAUUAAUAGUCUGGCCUGCUCACUGACAUAAUAUAAUGUUAAAGAGCCGCGGUAUCCUGACCGUGCAAAGGUAGCAUAAUCAUUAGUUCUUUAAUUGAGAACUUGUAUGAACGGCCGGACAAGAGAAACCCUGUCUCUGCUAUUAUAUUAGAAUUUAACUUUUAAGUGAAAAGGCUUAAAUUUUUCAAGGGGACGAUAAGACCCUAUAAAGCUUUAUAUAUUAAUUAGAAUUUAUUAAAUUGAACGUAUAAAAAUUUAGUCUUAAAAAUAUAUUUAGUUGGGGCGACGAAAGUAUAAUUGAUAAUAACUGCUUAAACUUAAUACAAUAAUAAAUGAUUUUUUUUUAAUUGAUCCUUUUUAAAGAUUAAAGACCAAGUUACUUUAGGGAUAACAGCGUAAUUUCUUUUGAGAGUUCAUAUCGAAGAAGAAGUUUGCGACCUCGAUGUUGAAUUAAAAUAUCUUUAUAGUGCAGCAGCUAUAAAAAGAAGGUCUGUUCGACCUUUAAUUUUUUACAUGAUUUGAGUUCAGACCGGCGAGAGCCAGGUCGGUUUCUAUCUCUUGAUAAUUUAUAAAUCACUUUAGUACGAAAGGAUUAAGUGGUUGAAAAAAUUUUAUACAAUGAAAU